UCAGAGGUGAUGAAAGAAAAACGUCUUUCUGCAGGAGGUGUGACCAGUGAAUACUUGGCUGUAGCUGAGAGGGGCCAAAACAACGAUAGCAUUGCAUGCUGAACAUAUUUCCAGGAGAUGGAUCUGCCUGCAUAGGACAAAGAAGAUCAAAGCCUCUCCAGGAAAGAGCAGCAGCACUGAGGAGAACGUGCAUCCAGCACUCAGGUAAGAUCUGAUGAGCUGCUUGCUUUAAACAAUGUGUCUCACCAUGAUAUAGAAGCAGAACAACCAGGGAGCUCCUUCAGUACACCUGUCUGAAAAAAAGAACCCUGUAAAGGACAGUCCCCUUCAACCCUUAUUCAGAUGCAUUCCCUGGAAAGCUGCACGCAUGGGUUACAGCAGCAAUAAUAUCAACAAAGGAAAGUUCUGUGUGCUGAUGUGCUUCUCCCAAGCCAUGCAGCCGCUUGCUGAGUUUCACACAAUUCACAGCUCUCCUGCAGGCCACGCAAAUACACCCUGCUCAUUGAAUUAUCAGACAGUAAUGCACUACUGGGAUUUGCACAAACUAACUCAUACAUUGUGAGGGAAGAUUAAAAGAGAUUAUAUUAGAAUGAAAUAAGUGGCAGCCCCUUUUUUAAUUUAGUCACUUACUACUGUACUCCGGCACUGCCAGCCAGACAGCAAAU